UACAGAGGUCCCAAGCGUUGUUCGGAUUCACUGGGCGUAAAGGGUGCGUAGGCGGUGAGGUAAGUUUGACGUGAAAUCUCCGGGCUCAACCCGGAACUGCGUUGAACACUAUCUCGCUAGAGGAAUGGAGGGGAGACUGGAAUACUUGGUGUAGCAGUGAAAUGCGUAGAUAUCAAGUGGAACACCAGUGGCGAAGGCGAGUCUCUGGACAUUUCCUGACGCUGAGGCACGAAAGCCAGGGGAGCAAACGGG
rnacentral:rRNA from 1 species